UCAAGCAUUGUUGUGUUCCUAUUGUGAGUAAGGUGACCAGGGCUCCUUGGGGAGAUUGGGAGUAAGGUCGACAGCGCGCUUGCGGUGCUUCGCACUAGUGUUGCAAUUAUCUAUAA